UCAGGUCGCCAUAUAUAUCGCUCUUUCUUGGGGAAUCGCGGAAUCUUUUCUUCUCUCCAUCGCCCGCCGGUCGUUAAGGAAGGCCUCAUUUCGCCGCCCAACGAAACCCUCUCCCUUUCUCUCUUCUCGCUUCGAUUCCUCCGUCGCCGCGUUAUCCGAGGAUAGGAGCUGCGAUUCAUCGAACAUGCCGACCGGGCGAACUAUAUCUUAAUGUUCAUCCCUUGUUGCAUGCUUACGCACGUAAUCUUAACGGAAAUCAUCUAAUGUUGUUUGAGGAAUUCUAAUCCAACAAAUCUUGCAAAGUCUGUUGCGAGCCCUACCGAGAAUGCGUUAGUGUCAAAUGGAAAAAACAAAUCUUUCCAGCCAUGGAAAUCGGCACUAGUCAACCUCCCUUUGAAUUUAAAAGUCAGUUGUGUGCUUUAAGUGGUGUAUCCCCUGAGAGGCAAAAAAUUAUGGUCCAGGGUGGUCUUCUGAAGGUAUAUGAACUUCCAUGUUAUAUGGUUUUUUAAUAAAUUUGUUCUGAAGUUAUAAGAAGCAUUUUCCUUUCACGCGGGAUGAUGCAGAUUGGACAACUUUAUGUGUCAAAGGGGUGGUUUUCUUUUCUUGAUUUUUGAUGCUUUUUAUAUCUUAUGAAUACAUAAUAUGAAGUUUUUUUAGAUAUUUGACAGGGUCAGAAGUUGAUGAUGAUGGGCACUGCAGACGAGAUAGUGCAGGCUCCAUAGAGAGGUCCUGUAUUUAUGGAGGAUUUCCCAGAAGAAGACCAAGUAGUAGCUUAAGUGAGUCUUAAUCGUAUCAUCAUCAAUCUAAGAAUCAUCCAGUUGCUGUGAUUCAUCAGAAUUCGUGUUGGACUUUUGAAUUUCCAAAAUUGACCAUCAAAUUGAAUGAUGCUAAAAUAUGCAAGAUCAGGAUCAGUUAUGAUUAGCAAUAGGAGUCGAGAUAGGAAUGUCUGACCAAAUGAGUUGAUCCUUGCUAUGCCAGCUGGGUUAGCUGAGCGAUGAAAGGAAUGUCAGCUUGAACAACCCUUGUUAAAGCUGGAGCUUGUUGGGUUAGGUUAAUGAAUGCUUCGAUGAGAAUUGUGAUACUGGGUGGGAGUGGAGUAACUGAUGGGUGGUUGAUUGCCGCAUUAUGGAAUAGUCGAUGGAAGGUAUAAAUCGGGAAGGUGGGGUUUUCGAUGGAUCCUAAAGUAAGAUUGGGGGGAGUUGGAUCCUCCUUAUUGCCCAAGAGGGACCUACAUGAUUUUCCUUGGACAUAUUGGGAGGGGCCCUCCUUUAAGCGCUAAUAUGUUAAAGCAGAUUUUGGUUGUUCGAUUGGAAUGCUGAUUUGGAACCAACCAAGCUCCUACCCUUUUCAUCUUAGCGGAAGGUGGUAUUAGGUUGAGAGGUUUCGUGCUUGUCUAAUUUGGAGCUACGUUGAACCCUACGAAACUGUGUCGGGCAUGCUCAACAAAGCUCCUGAAGCUCAAGUUAGCACUCGAAUAAGUGGUUUUAGCUAGACAUCGAGUUUGUAAAGGUUGAAUAUACUAAAAAGAGACCAGCUCGGAGAACAUGCCUAAGGAGCCCUUCUAUAUUGAGGUUUAGGAUAAUUUCACUUGAGGCUGUGGUUUAAGUCGAAAACGGCUAUGUGUCUUCUCUGGUGUUGGGUGUUAUUGUUAUACAUCGAAUCCAGAGAAUAUGAUGCGAUUGCGAGUGGGUCGUAACGUCUGGAGGGUGACAUCAUGUCAGCCACAUGGUGGUGAGGUGUCAACCACGUGUUUGACGAGCUGUCGACCAUGUGAUGGAGUGUCAACCACACGGUGACGAGUCAUCCACGAUCAUUAUUUUGCAGUCAUUAUACCCAUAUCAUCGUCCAACCGUAAUUUGCAGUCACUAACCUCAUGAGAUCAACAAAGCCAGAUCUGCACCUGAGUCGGACCUUACUUUAAUGGAUUUAUUUGGACCAUAUAGAGGUCUAACUGCAUUUCUAGUUUGGUAUUUUAAUCUUACCUUCUCAUCAGUCAACAUUAUGGUGUCUGAAUUUCACACCAUUAAACUUCAAGGGUUAUAUGUCAUGUAUUACAUCAUAUAACGUGUUAUAUGGGAAUCAUAAUUCCAUGUCGUUUGUCGGUUGUGUGACCUCAUUGUUGAUGCAUGAUUGAAAACUUUUCAUGUACACUUUGAGUUGUCGUUUCAUUGGCCAUCUAUUGUUGUUUAAUAACUUGAUUAUUGACAUUUUUAUGAGGUAAUGUUUCUGCAUCCAUAUGCAUGCAUGCACGUGAACUACACUGACAGAGAGAGAAAUAGAGCUAAUUGUUUUCAUCAAUUGUACCAUCUUUGCCACAUUGCCAAACACAAAUUCAGAACUUGUAUAAAGGUUCCACUAAGGAUCCUCUUCGCACUUGAAGAAGAGCAGGCCUGCUGUGUGUGGCUUCACAUGGUACAGGCACCAGACCAGAGCACUGUUGAUGUGCUGCUGCAUGAUUAAUGCUUACGUAGAUUCAUAAAGCUCAUCUGUAGUCAUCAAACGACUCCUGAAAAUGAAAUUUGAAAUGGCUUUCUUAAGUUCAUUAAGCGUAGUAUCCAUAAAACAUUGGGAAGUCCCUCUGUUAUCAUUCGACUUUCAAGUUUCAUGAAGAGAGAGCUAAUCGCUUGCCACAGAAUUGCUUGAUCAUCUUUACUGUGUUGUGUUCUGAAGAAAAGGUGCAGUUAACUGGAAUUUAUGACUUGGUCGCUGUGUUGACACACAAGGGAAGGAGUGACGACUAUGUCUUCUGGGUGAAACAAGAAAAUGCUCCUUUUGACCCAGGAAAAUGGAUUCAGUACGAUGAUCACAAUCCAAUCCAAUCCAAUCCCGCGUAGGGUAGAAAGGAUAUUACAAAGCUAUCUGGCGGCAGUAAAGACUCUUCAAGAGAAAUCACAAGUGAUUGGCACAUGGCAGAAACAUCUUCAUGGAUAAAGCCCAAGCUGGUUUGAUACGAUGGAACAUUGAGGAAAAAAAAGAGAAGAAAAUGCCUCUAUAUUGUUUGUAAUAUAACCUAUUUUGUAUUGAUUAUUGUUUGAUAUAUGGUCCCCUCAAGUGUGCUACAUCCUUUUUGUGUUUUUCUGUCCAAAGAAGUUGGGUGAUCCAGAACGAAAUUACAGGAACCGUUUGCUUUA